rnacentral:rRNA from 1 species
AUUGAACGCUGGCGGCAGGCCUAACACAUGCAAGUCGAGCGGAUGAAGGGAGCUUGCUCCUGGAUUCCGCGGCGGACGGGUGAGUAAUGCCUAGGAAUCUGCCUGGUUGUGGUGGAUAACGUCCGGAAACGGGCGCUAAUACCGCAUACGUCCUGCGGGUGAAAGUGGGGGAUCUUCGGACCUCACGCUCUCAGAUGAGCCUAGGUCGGAUUAGCUAGUUGGUUGGGUAAAGGCCUACCAAGGCGAGGAUCCGUAACUGGUCUGAGAGGAUGAUCAGUCACAUGGGAACUGGACCACGGUCAAGACGCCUACGAGAGGCACCAGUGGGGAAUAUGGGACAAUGGGCGAAAGCAUGAUCCAGCCAGGCCGCGUGUGUGAAGGAGGCCUUCCGAUUGGAAAGCACGUCUAGUUGUGAGGAAGCGCAGUAGGCUAAGACCUAGCUGUUGUGACGUUACCAGCAGAAGAAGCACCGGCUAACUACGUG